GACCUGCAAGGAACUGCGCAGGAGCAUAUCUAAAAUUUCUGUUCAGGCCAUCUAGGACUUUCACAUCCUCUAAAGGCAACUGGAAUUCAAAAAUCUACAACACAAAUGAA